AGAACGAACGCUGGCGGCAUGCCUAACACAUGCAAGUCGAACGAGACCUUCGGGUCUAGUGGCGCACGGGUGCGUAACGCGUGGGAAUCUGCCCUUAGGUACGGAAUAACAGUGAGAAAUUACUGCUAAUACCGUAUGAUGUCUUCGGACCAAAGAUUUAUCGCCUAGGGAUGAGCCCGCGUUGGAUUAGCUAGUUGGUGGGGUAAAGGCCUACCAAGGCGACGAUCCAUAGCUGGUCUGAGAGGAUGAUCAGCCACACUGGGACUGAGACACGGCCCAGACUCCUACGGGAGGCAGCAGUGGGGAAUAUUGGACAAUGGGCGAAAGCCUGAUCCAGCAAUGCCGCGUGAGUGAAGAAGGCCCUUCGGGUUGUAAAGCUUCUUUUACCCGGGAAGAUAAUGACUGUACCGGGAGAAUAAGCCCCGGCUAACUCCGUGCCAGCAGCCGC
rnacentral:rRNA from 1 species